GUGUGAGUAGCGAAAGAUGGGUGAGAAUCCCGUCCACCGAUUGACUAAGGUUUCCAGAGGAAGGCUCGUCCGCUCUGGGUUAGUCGGGUCCUAAGCUGAGGCCGACAGGCGUAGGCGAUGGAUAACAGGUUGAUAUUCCUGUACCACCUAUAAUCGUUUUAAUCGAUGGGGGGACGCAGUAGGAUAGGCGAAGCGUGCGAUUGGAUUGCACGUCUAAGCAGUAAGGCUGAGUAUUAGGCAAAUCCGGUACUCGUUAAGGCUGAGCUGUGAUGGGGAGAAGACAUUGUGUCUUCGAGUCGUUGAUUUCACACUGCCGAGAAAAGCCUCUAGAUAGAAAAUAGGUGCCCGUACCGCAAACCGACACAGGUAGUCAAGAUGAGAAUUCUAAGGUGAGCGAGCGAACUCUCGUUAAGGAACUCGGCAAAAUGACCCCGUAACUUCGGGAGAAGGGGUGCUCUUUAGGGUUAACGCCCAGAAGAGCCGCAGUGAAUAGGCCCAAGCGACUGUUUAUCAAAAACACAGGUCUCUGCUAAACCGUAAGGUGAUGUAUAGGGGCUGACGCCUGCCCGGUGCUGGAAGGUUAAGAGGAGUGGUUAGCUUCUGCGAAGCUACGAAUCGAAGCCCCAGUAAACGGCGGCCGUAACUAUAACGGUCCUAAGGUAGCGAAAUUCCUUGUCGGGUAAGUUCCGACCCGCACGAAAGGCGUAACGAUUUGGGCACUGUCUCAACGAGAGACUCGGUGAAAUCAUAGUACCUGUGAAGAUGCAGGUUACCCGCGACAGGACGGAAAGACCCCGUGGAGCUUUACUGUAGCCUGAUAUUGAAAUUCGGCACAGCUUGUACAGGAUAGGUA
rnacentral:rRNA from 1 species